UAAAUAUUCAAUCAAAGACGUUUGGAGAACGUCAAACUUUCUUUGGCAGAGAGAUUGAGAGGAUGGCACAAGAGUGACACCACCAUUGAUGAGAAACCUGAGGACAACCUCUGGCUCUUUGGACUCUGAGACAGGUUAGCAUUUACUGUCUCCUGAGAACCACAUCAGCGGAGGAGACGUGACCCUUGACUCUGUGUCUCCUCUCAACUCUCCGUCCUUCACCCUCAGUGAGACAGUACCAGACUUCAAUCUUGACUUCAACCUUGAUGAAGCCUUGAAAUUUGUUGGACUGAACUGUUCCAAGACUGGGGAACCUGUCUGGAAGCCCUCAGAGCCUGAACCCACUUCUGACAACAAGGAAAGCCCUGGUAAGGAGGAGGAGGACAACGAGGACAGCUUAGACACCUUGAACGACACCCUGGAUGAUAUGAUCCAGGCCUCCUAGCUUCAUCCUCAACACCCGCGCUCACUACAGUUCCCCUGACAGGCACCACAAGUGAGAACAUGGAGGUGGACAACAGUGUGGAGAUCCCCCUCAACAAGGCUACCAUCCUGCGGGGACACCAGAGUGAGGUGUUCAUCUGUGCCUGGAACACAAUCACUUACCUUGCCUCAGGGUCAGGAGACAGCACAGCCCGCAUCUGGAACAUGAAUAACAGCACCACCUCCCUGAACCAGCUUGUUCUUCGGCACUGCAUUCAGAAGGGAGGCACUGAAAGGUUCCCAGUAACAAAGAUGUCACUUCCUUAGACUGGAAUUGUGACGGCACCUUGCUCGCCACGGGAUCUUAUGACAAUUACACCAGAGUUUGAAUGACAAACGGCCGGCUAGCCUACAACCUUGGCCAGCACAAGGAUCCCAUAUUUGCCCUUAAGUGGAACAAAAAGGGCAACUACUUCCUAAGUGUUGGAGUGGACAAGGGCGACGUGAGUGCAAGUAUGGGUGUUCCUGGAUGUAUACCAGGUACCAUGUUUGCUCCCAUCCCUGUGGAAGUCAUUUCAUAUUCACCUGAGCUAGUUGGAACCAAUGCAACUCAGAAGAGCAAGUACAGCAGAUAGCACAUUGUAGAACCAUCAACAGACCUGCAUCAAAUCUUGGAGGCAACACAAAAUGUGGAAGCCACCUUGGAUGCCCUAAUCUGGUUCUGUACUGUCACCGACUCCUUGUUAUUCAUCAGUGACCUUCUAAACCAGGCUUCUUGUCCUGUCCACUUCUAUGCUGAUGAUACCACCCUGAACUUUUCCACGUCUUUUCAUAGAUGUCCAACACUUCAGAAGGAGAAAUCUUUCUUGAGAACCCAGCUAAUCAUCUAUGUGGUCCUCAGCUUGUUCAUCAGGCUUGACUCAUGCAUCUUCUGAAGGCUGUAGGAAGAGUAAGUAAGCCCAAUAGCAAUACCUCCUGUGAUGUACUGGACUGGCAGUUCCUUGAUUCUGGAGGAGUCUGCAAUAGAAAGACCACAAAUGUAGUAGUUGGUUGUGACAUCCAUACCUAUGAACAUGUAUUUACCAGCCAAGUGAGUUUUUUUUUUUUAUUUGUUCGACUUACUUAUUUUCUCUUGUUUAAUGUAACAGGAGGACUGGUCAAGGACAACAAAAAGAGCAAAAGAAAAGAAAACAAGACCCACUGAGCUGCCAGUCCCAAAAGAAAGUUAAAAAAGAUCAUCCCAAAUUGGAAGGUAAGUGUCUUGAAACCUCCCUCUUGAAAGAAUUUGCAUCAUAGGAAGGAGGAGGUACAGAAGCAUGUAGGGAGUGUGGGAUUAGCUAACAGUGAGAUACUGGUGGUGGUUAUGCUAAAUUAAGGAAUGUUUGUGGUUUUAUCUAGAUGAAGAAUGAAUCUGACUAAUUUAUUUUACCUGAUGGAAGAAUCUUAAUUAGUGUUUUCAUUUAUCAGAGGCAAGAUAUGAAGCAAAUGUUUAUAUGACAAUUUCAAGUUCGCAUCUUUCUCACUUUGAGGAGAACUAAUUGAUGCUUUCUAAUGACCUGCAAAGGAAUUUUGUUCAGCACUGCUUCAUCUUAAGGGAUUUAAGGAUUAACAAACCAGACCAAAAAAUUCCCAAAACAUUUCAAAACAACAGAAAUAAUGAAAAACAAUGAAAAACACACUAAAAUCAUCAACAGAUGUAUCCAAACCAUCAAAAAGACAGAGAGAUGAAUAUUCCAUGGGAAACAAUUAAAAAAUAUUAAAAAGAAUACUAAAAUAUUGAAAAACACACCAAAACAUCAAAAAGACAAAAAAAAGGGAGAUGAAGAGACCAUGACAUAGUGAAGAUUUUCCUGACACCAACAUGGGAAUUGCUUCUCCAGUCCCUCACUGUGGGAGUUGUGA